UACGUAGGGGUCAAGCGUUGUCCGGAUUUAUUGGGCGUAAAGAGCGUGUAGGCGGCUUUACAGGUCCGUUGUGAAAACUCGAGGCUCAACCUCGAGACGCCGGUGGAAACCGUAAAGCUAGAGUCCGGAAGAGGAGAGUGGAAUUCCUGGUGUAGCGGUGAAAUGCGCAGAUAUCAGGAGGAACACCCGUGGCGAAAGCGGCUCUCUGGGACGGUACUGACGCUGAGACGCGAAAGCCAGGGGAGCAAACAGG
rnacentral:rRNA from 1 species